rnacentral:rRNA from 1 species
UACUAGAGUAGCACUCGCAUAUCAAUAAGCGGAGGAAAAGAAACUAACAAGGAUUCCCCUAGUAACGGCGAGUGAAGCGGGAAGAGCUCAAAUUUGAAAUCUUAAAGGGUUUCCCUUUACGAAUUGUAGUUUAAGAAGUGUUUUCUGUUGAGGUUUUGGUAAAAGUUCUUUGGAAUAGGACAUCAUAGAGGGUGAGAAUCCCGUAUUUGACCUUUACUUUCAACUUUGUGAUACACUUUCAAAGAGUCGGAUUGUUUGGGAAUGCAGUCCAAAAUGGGUGGUAAAUUUCAUCUAAAGCUAAAUAUUGGCGAGAGACCGAUAGCGAACAAGUACCGUGAGGGAAAGAUGAAAAGAACUUUGAAAAGAGAGUUAAACAGUACGUGAAAUUGUCAAAAGGGAAGCGUUUGACACCAGUGUUGUUUUUCUGAAAAUCAAUUAAAGAACUGUUUAUGCUAAGUUGUUUAGACUUUAUCAGCUAACUGUUUAGUUCUGAGCUUUUCUUUAAUGCACUUUUCAGUUAACAAGUCAACAUCAAUUUCUUUUGCUGUAAAAAAGCUUGAGGAAGGUGGCUUGAGAUUCGUCUUAAGUGUUUAUAGGCCUCUUGCCUAUGCAGUCGGAGAGAUUGAGGUCUGCAGCGUAGAUCCUUCGGGGCUAAAUGCAUUUGUGCUAAGUUAUAGCAUUUUAUAGACAACUUGUUGACUAUGAUUUGUCUUGUAGCUUACUCGCUUAUGUUAUUUUACCUACGCUUAGGAUGUUGAGCGCAUGUCUCUCUCU